rnacentral:lncRNA from 1 species
AGCCGGGUCCGCAGGCGAGGACAGCAGGAAAUACUCCGAGGGCCCAACGUGUGCGGUUCUAGAUUCCACUCCUAUUGCUGCCCGGGAUGGAAGACGCUCCCAGGAGGAAAUCAGUGCAUUGUCCCCAUUUGCAGGAACAGCUGUGGAGACGGAUUCUGUUCCCGCCCCAACAUGUGUACUUGUUCCAGCGGACAAAUAUCCCCGACCUGUGGAGCAAAAUCAAUUCAGCAGUGUAGUGUGAGGUGCAUGAACGGUGGGACCUGUGCGGAUGACCACUGUCAGUGCCAGAAGGGAUACAUCGGGACCUACUGUGGACAACCUGUCUGUGAGAAUGGAUGCCAGAAUGGUGGGCGUUGCAUCGGCCCUAACCGCUGUGCUUGUGUUUAUGGAUUCACCGGGCCACAGUGCGAAAGAGAUUACAGGACAGGCCCAUGUUUCACUCAAGUCAAUAAUCAGAUGUGCCAGGGGCAGCUGACAGGCAUCGUCUGUACGAAGACGCUGUGCUGUGCCACCAUUGGGCGAGCCUGGGGUCAUCCUUGUGAGAUGUGCCCAGCCCAGCCUCAGCCCUGCCGCCGGGGCUUCAUCCCCAACAUCCGCACUGGAGCAUGUCAGGGUAAGUCAACUACUACUUAGAAUAUAUAAUUCUAUAAUAAGAGGGCGAGCGUCUCUGUGCCUGUAUCCAGAUGGCACAGUUCUGCUGUAGAGACUAAUUUCUUCUCUCUUCUCCGUGAUCCAUGAUGUCUUUUUCUCCAGAUAAUCUUCUGUGACGCCUCAUAAGUGGCUCUGGU